CCCCUACGGGAGGCAGCAGUGGGGAAUAUUGCGCAAUGGGGGGAACCCUGACGCAGCCAUGCCGCGUGAAUGAAGAAGGCCUUCGGGUUGUAAAGUUCUUUCGGUAUUGAGGAAGGUUGAUGUGUUAAUAGUACAUCAAAUUGACGUUAAAUACAGAAGAAGCACCGGCUAACUCCGUGCCAGCAGCCGCGGUAAUGGGG
rnacentral:rRNA from 1 species